CACACCUACGGACGCAGCAGUGGGGAAUAUUGCACAAUGGGGGAAACCCUGAUGCAGCGACGCCGUGUGAGUGAAGAAGUAAUUCGUUACGUAAAGCUCUAUCAGCAGGGAAGAAAAUGACGGUACCUGGGUAAGAAGCCCCGGCUAACUACGUGCCAGCAGCCGCGGUAAUACGUAGGGGGCAAGCGUUAUCCGGAUUUACUGGGCGUAAAGGGAGCGUAGACGGCGCGGCAAGUCUGAAGUGAAAGGCAGGGGCUUAACCCCUGAACUGCUUUGGAAACUGCCAUGCUAGAGUGCUGGAGAGG
rnacentral:rRNA from 1 species